rnacentral:rRNA from 1 species
CUACGUAGGGGGCUAGCGUUGUCCGGAAUCAUUGGGCGUAAAGAGCGUGUAGGCGGUUUAAUAGGUCCGGUGUGAAAACUCGAGGCUCAACCUCGAGAGGUCGUCGGAAACCAUUGAACUAGAGUCCGGAAGAGGAGAGUGGAAUUCCUGGUGUAGCGGUGAAAUGCGCAGAUAUCAGGAAGAACACCGAUGGCGAAGGCAGCUCUCUGGGACGGUACUGACGCUAAGACGCGAAAGCGUGGGGAGCGAACAGGAUUAGAUACCCCGGUAGUCC